UACAGAGGUCCCAAGCGUUGUUCGGAUUCAUUGGGCGUAAAGGGUGCGUAGGUGGCGCCGUAAGUCGGGUGUGAAAUUUCGGAGCUUAACUCCGAAACUGCAUUCGAUACUGCGGUGCUUGAGGACUGGAGAGGAGACUGGAAUUCAUGGUGUAGCAGUGAAAUGCGUAGAGAUCAUGAGGAACACCAGUGGCGAAGGCGGCUACCUGGCCCAUUCUUGACGCUGAGGCGCGAAAGCUAGGGGAGCAAACGGG
rnacentral:rRNA from 1 species